GACGAACGCUGGCGGCGUGCCUAAUACAUGCAAGUAGAACGCUGAAGAGAGGAGCUUGCUCUUCUUGGAUGAGUUGCGAACGGGUGAGUAACGCGUAGGUAACCUGCCUUGUAGCGGGGGAUAACUAUUGGAAACGAUAGCUAAUACCGCAUAACAAUGGAUGACACAUGUCAUUUAUUUGAAAGGGGCAAUUGCUCCACUACAAGAUGGACCUGCGUUGUAUUAGCUAGUAGGUGAGGUAACGGCUCACCUAGGCGACGAUACAUAGCCGACCUGAGAGGGUGAUCGGCCACACUGGGACUGAGACACGGCCCAGACUCCUACGGGAGGCAGCAGUAGGGAAUCUUCGGCAAUGGGGGCAACCCUGACCGAGCAACGCCGCGUGAGUGAAGAAGGUUUUCGGAUCGUAAAGCUCUGUUGUAAGUCAAGAACGAGUGUGAGAGUGGAAAGUUCACACUGUGACGGUAGCUUACCAGAAAGGGACGGCUAACUACGUGCCAGCAGCCGCGGUAAUACGUAGGUCCCGAGCGUUGUCCGGAUUUAUUGGGCGUAAAGCGAGCGCAGGCGGUUUGAUAAGUCUGAAGUUAAAGGCUGUGGCUCAACCAUAGUUCGCUUUGGAAACUGUCAAACUUGAGUGCAGAAGGGGAGAGUGGAAUUCCAUGUGUAGCGGUGAAAUGCGUAGAUAUAUGGAGGAACACCGGUGGCGAAAGCGGCUCUCUGGUCUGUAACUGACGCUGAGGCUCGAAAGCGUGGGGAGCGAACAGGAUUAGAUACCCUGGUAGUCCACGCCGUAAACGAUGAGUGCUAGGUGUUGGAUCCUUUCCGGGAUUCAGUGCCGCAGCUAACGCAUUAAGCACUCCGCCUGGGGAGUACGACCGCAAGGUUGAAACUCAAAGGAAUUGACGGGGGCCCGCACAAGCGGCGGAGCAUGUGGUUCAAUUCGAAGCAACGCGAAGAACCUUACCAGGUCUUGACAUCCCGAUGCUAUUUCUAGAGAUAGAAAGUUACUUCGGUACAUCGGUGACAGGUGGUGCAUGGUUGUCGUCAGCUCGUGUCGUGAGAUGUUGGGUUAAGUCCCGCAACGAGCGCAACCCCUAUUGUUAGUUGCCAUCAUUCAGUUGGGCACUCUAGCGAGACUGCCGGUAAUAAACCGGAGGAAGGUGGGGAUGACGUCAAAUCAUCAUGCCCCUUAUGACCUGGGCUACACACGUGCUACAAUGGUUGGUACAACGAGUUGCGAGUCGGUGACGGCAAGCUAAUCUCUUAAAGCCAAUCUCAGUUCGGAUUGUAGGCUGCAACUCGCCUACAUGAAGUCAGAAUCGCUAGUAAUCGCGGAUCAGCACGCCGCGGUGAAUACGUUCCCGGGCCU
rnacentral:rRNA from 1 species